CCGUACGGCCAUACCACCCUGAACCCACCUGAUCUCCUCUGGUCUCAGAAGCUACGCAGGGCCGGGCCUGGUUAGUACUUGUAUGGGAGACCACCUGGGAAUACCAGGUGCUGUAAGCU
rnacentral:rRNA from 1 species